ACCGUCGUAUGAUGCGAUGGGGGGACGGAUCGCGGAAGGUUGUCUGACUGUUGGAAUAGUCAGUUUCUGCUUCAUAGAAGGUGCUUAGGCAAAUCCGGGCACGUAAUUCAAGGGAGUGGGACGAGUGUACUUGUACACGUAGCAAUCGGAAGUGGUUCCAAGAAAAGCCUCUAAGCUUCAGUCAUACGAGACCGUACCGCAAACCGACACAGGUGGGCGAGAUGAGUAUUCUAAGGCGCUUGAGAGAACUCGGGAGAAGGAA
rnacentral:rRNA from 1 species